CCCAGAUUUAAAACCGAAGCAACCAAGUGUACAGCAAGACAGGGAACAGAACAGUGAUGGAAUAAAGCACUGAGGCCAAAAAAAAAAAAAAAAAAAAAGAAGAGAAAAAGAGACAGUUAUAUGAAAUAAAACGCUAAAGAGCAAAGGUCACACAGGAAAGAUCUGACACACCAGUGGCUGAUCUCUGAAGUGUCCUAUUAUGGAGACAGCUCAGAACUACUUGACACUAACAAGACAUCAGGCUUUGGAAAAGAGAGGAAAUGCGUAUAAUCGGUUCUCCUAUUCCACAGCAAGAAAUAUCCAAUUCUCAUUUGUCAGCCCAGGUAACCAGAUAUUUGUGCUCCUUUUUUAGGGAAGGAAGAAGGGAUGAAGGAGAAGACAUCCCAUCCACAGAAAGAGGAGCCUUAUUCUGCCAGAACAGCCCUGGAAAUAAACCCGACGCAAGUCUGGUGAGACCUGCCUGCCAUAUACGUACACCAAAUGCAGAUGUUGAUGAAAGAGCACAGGAGAGAGAAUGAUUGUGUUAUCUGUUGAAGACCAGCUCUUGCAACAGGACAGGUUUGGGCCAGGCAGCUGCCUUUGACCAGCAGUUUUGGAUGCAGAGAGGCCAAAUUAAACCCCCCAGGUUGGAGGCAGAUACUCAGGAGAAGGGACAGGACCAGAGGAUGGGCUGCUCGUUCCUUCUUCUUCCCAGGGUAGGUGGCCUCUUCUGGCACUUUCUUCCUAAAUCUUGGGUCUCGGGAGUAUGAGAUGGGGAUGGCAUUUGGGAUGAAGGACUUCCCAGAGUGACUUCUCUCCUUCAUUCCCAUCUCUUUCCCCUUGGGCUUUGCCCACCUGUGGUGCCAUGGGAGGAUUGGUAUAUUGGAGGUUGGGUAGAAUCACACCAGGUUGUACAGCCCAGAAAUCAGCACAUUUGGCAGGAAUAAGGGCUGCUGCCAGUGUCUGCUGGCGUGUCCCCCAUGAGCUGCUGACAAACACCGUGUCCACACUUUUACUUUUCUCUCCUUUCCUUCCCGUUGGGGCUUUCGGCUCCUCCAGCUCCGCAUCCUGCGCGGCUGCACUUCACUCACAGCAGCAGGAGCAUCAA
rnacentral:lncRNA from 1 species